UUAGCUAAAUGGUAGAGCACUCAGCUGGUAUCUGAGAGGCACAGGUUCGAGGCCGCCUGCUA
rnacentral:tRNA from 1 species